rnacentral:tRNA from 1 species
UAAAUGAAAGCCAAAGAGAGGCGCCUAUUUGUUAAUUAGGAUAUUGUAGUUUAACAUACUCAUUUAG